rnacentral:rRNA from 1 species
CAGAGACUGCAAGCGUUAUUCGGAUUCACUGAGCGUAAAGGGUGCGCAGGUGGCCAAGUGUGUUAGGCGUGAAAGCCCGGGGCUUAACCCCGGAAUUGCACCUAAAACUACUUGGCUAGAGCAUUGGAGAGGGGAGCAGAAUUCACGGUGUAGCAGUGAAAUGCGUAGAUAUCGUGAGGAAUACCAGAGGCGAAGGCGGCUCCCUGGACAAUUGCUGACACUCAGGCACGAAAGCGUGGGGAGCAAAAGGG